rnacentral:rRNA from 1 species
CCCAGUUCGGACUGCAGCCUGCAACCCGGCUGCACGAAGCCGGAAUCGCUAGUAAUCGCAGAUCAGAAUGCUGCGGUGAAUACGUUCCCGGGUCUUGUACACACCGCCCGUCACACCAUGGGAGUCGGAAAUGCCCGAAGUCAGUGGCCCAACCGGAAGGAGGGAGCUGCCGAAGGCAGGUCCGGUGACUGGGGUGAAGUCGUAACAAGGUAGC